CGCCGCUCGCCCGCGUUCUGGGGGCGAGCGCGGCAGACCCUGGCCGCGGGCGGAGCAAGCCGGUCGGGGUUCGGUCGUGCCUUCACGCUUCGGCUGUCUGUCAGUCGCCACAGCUCCAGGCGUUUGGCGGCGAGUUAACGAGUUUAAAAAUCCGGUUAAGCCAGGAAAGCCGACGUGGGAUCUCGCCGACCCCAACCCUGGUGCGCGGGGCCGAGAAUGCCGCUCAAACUCUUCGAGCACGUGGGGACUAAAGAGGAAUUCGUUAAAGUGAGAAAGAAGGACCUGGAACGGCUGACAACUGAAGUAAUGCAGAUCCGGGACUUCUUACCCCGAAUACUAAAUGGGGAAGUGCUGGAAAGCUUCCAGAAAUUAAAGAUUGUAGAAAAAAGUGAGUCUUCCCUACAUUUAGCAGUCAUGGACGGUGACAGCAGUCUAGGUCAGCAGGUUGAUCUUACAGGAACAACUGUAGAGUAGUGGUACAUAAACCUUAAAUGCUGUUAAGUCCUUGUGAUUACAUUUGGGACAGGCAGGGGACAUAAGGAGGAGAGGCACCCUGGAGUGGGUAGCUCAGACAUGUGUAAGUUGGCAGUGGGGGAAGAGUGGCCAGCUUUCUAGAGUUUGUCUUCUCUUUCUACUCUCAUCCUUAACAUAAAAAUUUGAUACUCUUGUAAUUGAAAAGCUCUACUCUACGA